CCUCCAGUCUGAGGAGACAAGACCAGCUGAGGAUCCAGCGAGCCUGGAUGACAGAACAGAAGGGAGUUGACUAGAAGCCAAGGCUGUGGGAGCAGCAGCUAAAGAGCAGCAUGGGACUCUAUCACCUAAUAGCCAAGACACUGAACAUCAUGGUGGCAAAAAUCACAUGGUGGAAGGUUUUCCUACAUCACGGUAUACUGGAAACAGAAAGAGAAGUACAGGAAGAAGUCAAAGCUACAUACAACACAAGGAAAUACCCAUAGUGAACCACUUCCUCCAACUAGUCCCCGCCUCUGACUUUUCACUACUUCUCAAUAAUAAUGUCAUAUUAAUACCCAUCAAUAAAUUAAUUCAUUCAAUAAA